AACGUAGGAGACAAACGUUAUCCGGAGUUACUGGGCGUAAAGGGCGUGCAGGUGGUCUGUUAAGUCUGGCGUGAAAGCUCCUGGCUAAACCGGGGGAGGUCGUUGGAUACUGGCGGACUAGAGGACGGUAGAGGCGUGUGGAAUUCCGGGUGUAGUGGUGAAAUGCGUAGAGAUCCGGAGGAACACCAGUGGCGAAGGCGACACGCUGGGCCGUACCUGACACUGAUACGCGACAGCAUGGGGAGCGAACGGG
rnacentral:rRNA from 1 species